GAUGAACGCUGGCGGCGUGCCUAAUACAUGCAAGUCGAGCGAACAGACGAGGAGCUUGCUCCUCUGACGUUAGCGGCGGACGGGUGAGUAACACGUGGAUAACCUACCUAUAAGACUGGGAUAACUUCGGGAAACCGGAGCUAAUACCGGAUAAUAUAUUGAACCGCAUGGUUCAAUAGUGGAAGACGGUUUUGCUGUCACUUAUAGAUGGAUCCGCGCCGCAUUAGCUAGUUGGUAAGGUAACGGCUUACCAAGGCAACGAUGCGUAGCCGACCUGAGAGGGUGAUCGGCCACACUGGAACAGAGACACGGUCCAGAAUCCUACGGGAGGCAGCAGUAGGGAAUCUUCCGCAAUGGGCGAAAGCCUGACGGAGCAACGCCGCGUGAGUGAUGAAGGUCUUCGGAUCGUAAAACGCUGUUAUUAGGGAAGAACAAAUGUGUAAGUAACUAUGCACGUCUUGACGGUACCUAAUCAGAAAGCCACGGCGAACUACGU
rnacentral:rRNA from 1 species